rnacentral:rRNA from 1 species
UACAGAGGUCUCAAGCGUUGUUCGGAUUCAUUGGGCGUAAAGGGUGCGUAGGCGGCGCGGUAAGUCGGGUGUGAAAUCUCUGAGCUUAACUCAGAACGGUCAAGUGAUACUGUCGUGCUAGAGUACAGAAGGGGCAACUGGAAUUCUCGGUGUAGCGGUGAAAUGCGUAGAUAUCGAGAGGAACACCUGCGGCGAAGGCGGGUUGCUGGGCUGAUACUGACGCUGAGGCGCGAAAGCCAGGGGAGCGAACGGG